rnacentral:misc_RNA from 1 species
AACGCACAUUGCGCCCUUUGGUAUUCCUUAGGGCAUGCCUGUUCGAGCGUCAUAAACCCCCCUCAAGCGCAGCUUGUUGUUGGGCGCCUGUCCCGCCCCCGGCCGGACUCGCCCCGAAUCCAUUGGCGGCCCCCGCAUUGGGCUAUCGAGCGCAGCAGACUUGCGCCUCGAGCACAGCGCGCGGGCGACCACUGAGCGACCCCCAUCCACUUUGACCUCGGAUCAGGUAGGGAUACCCGCUGAACUUAA